UCGGGAAGGCCCGCGGGGAGCGAAGGUGGAGAGCUUCGCCCUGACCUUAGGGUGCGAGCCUUUGGCAUCCCGCCGUGCCGGGACCGCUCGAGUUCUGUCAUGGGUGGGAGUGUCUACCCGCCCGGAGGAGAUGAACGGAACUGGGAGACGCGUCCCCAGCUCCAGUCGCCAGGUGCAGCUUCAGCUUUUGCCGCUGGAUAGAUGCUUGGUAGUGAAAACUUUGCAGAUGGGUGUACGCAGCGAAUUGUGCCAUUUGCCGGGUUGGGUUUGGAGUGGUUUUUGGGACAGCUCCGCUAUCACUGGCCGUGGCAAGGAGCAGCCAAAGAGUGUUGGAAAGCACAAAUGCUACUCCCUCUUUCCCCCUCCCUUGCCGCCUUGGGAUACUCAUGAUGCACAGCCAGGUGGAUGGUGAGGUCUGGGAGUUUGUGUCUGUAUGACCGGAUCUGCACACGGAGCAUGCAAGGGAGCCCCUAAAGGGAAUGACAACUGCGUUUGGCCCAAGGUUGUCCCGUCUCAUUGACUGUUGGAUACAGAUGCAAAUUCAGGGACCUGAGUCACCAGCCCAGCUCCAUUAGCCACCCACAGCUCUCUGGAACUGCCCAGUGCCUGGAGUUUCGUGGUGACUCAAUGGCUGGAAAAUCGCCGGGGCUGUGCCAGAGGGAUGUGCUUAUGUUUCCAUUUCUCUCCCAUAUCGUGUUGUAGCGCUUGGGUGUUGGGGUGAGCUCAGGUUUCAGCCUGCUUCAGCAUCUGGAAUGCUGAGCCCUCCCAAAGUGCUGAAUCAGCUCUUUUAAGAAAGAAUCUGGGGGGGAGAAACAGGGCACUGGGUCCUGCUGUGGGGUGGUUUGUCUUGGAGGAGGGAGAUGAGUAGGAAAUGAGAUUAACACCCGCUUUGGGGAGAGGCUGUUGGAGUGAUGUGGUGUUUGAUGGCACAUAUCGUGUACCAGACAGAAUUGGGCUGAGGGACCAAAAGACAGCGGCAAAGACACCAAAAUCUUGAUGGCUGUGAGUCUUAUAUAGUACAUGUGACAAAUGAAAUAAGCUAAUAAUAAACUGAUGCCUUGUGUGGAGGUUUCAAUGCCUGGCUGCUGGGCCACGUCCUUGCCUGGUGCUGCUCCUUGGUGGGAGUGAUGAAAUUAUUGUAGUUAUCAGUCUCGUUUAUUUUGGGGGAUUGAUUUGUAUCAUCCUGGCAUACAGGCAGGUGGAACUUCUUGCAUUUGGUGUUUUGCGUUUGCUGCUGUUGGGCAUGAGAGCUGAUGGCCCCUUAGGUUCCAAGAAGCUGGCUGCUGGGCUCUGGGCUACCCCAUGGACUGCAAUUUUGGAGCCAGGCUGCCUCCAGCUCCCCCAGGGCCUGUAGGACUUCUCCAAGGUGGACAGAGAGAUGUCCUUGAAGGGAGAGCCCUGGAGCUUUCUCUCCUUCACGUCCAAUGCACUUUGAUACAAGUGGACCAGGACACCUCACUUUGUUUUAAAGUCUCCACAAAUCUUUGAGGCUCGGAUAAAUUCAGGUGCUGUGAUGUGCCUCCAGGCAGGGGAAAGCAAGAGCCUCUGGUCAUGGUUUAGUCGUAAGAUGUCAGCACCAGAAGAGGUGUGCACAGUUAAAGUGAAAAACCGGCUUAUUAAACUUCAUCUUCCUAAUUAACACAGGGUGAAGAACAAAGAAAGACAAUGUUGUAAAGGGGGAAUUAUCAGGGGUGUUAAAUAUUAAGUCAUCUGCUGCCAGAAUUGGUUCCCAGUGGCUAUUUUGUAUUCAUGGUCAGACACUGGAUGAGGUGUCUAAAUGGAUUUGGAGCAUCACUUGACACUGGAAGCUUUAAAGGACAAAACUGGGUUGUAAAGUCACGAUUCCUACAGUGUAGGUGAAAGUAUUUAAGGCUGGGUAGAGCUAAUGUCACAGCUUCAAAUCUCCUGCCUCCUCUUGCAGAUGGAGUGAGGUCCUGGCAGCAUGUCUGCACUUUGCAGAUGAGCUCUGUAUUCACGUGGCCCCCUUGGAUUCGGGGUUUAUCCUCUGGGUGCCCAGUGCUGUUUAAUCCUGGCUUACAAACCAGCCGGCAGCAGUGGGACUGCUUGUUUCUUAUGGCUCGAGGCAGCCUCAUUAUCCUGCAGGAUCACGACACUGCUUAAAAUCGCAGGAUUUGGUGGAGAAAAGAAAAACCACCCAAACUGUGUGUUGGGUUGUUUUUUGGUUUUGUUUUUGUUUUUAUUAUUUUGCUUUCUGAUUCUGGAGCUCCUGUGAGUGCAGGAGGGGAAUGAGCUUUCACCGGCCCUUCCCGCCCACCUGGCAGGGAGGGGAGAUGCCAUCCUGGAUCGCGGGACUCCGGGAGUGUGUGCCCGUGUGCCCCGGCAGUGCCUGCGGCAGCUCCCCUUGGCCGGGCGCCGCUUCCCUGGCACACCCUGGCCAGAGGGUUGGCUGCUCCCGCAUCCGUCACAGUGCCUGAGAGAACACGCCGGUGACGUGCCGGUCCCCUCCUCCUGCUCGUGGACACGGAGCAGCCGGCUCGGAGCCCCGAAACGCGAUGGAGAGGACGAAUUUGCCGGGGAGGCGGAGGUGACAGAUGAGGUUUGUUGCUGGCAGAAGGACUGCCUGGAGCAAAGCCACUCCCAAGCACUAAGUGUGGCGCGUCCCCAGGAACAGCCGGUUCCCGCGAGCAGCACGUGUCUGGGAUUGGCGGGGAGGUUUGCUGCUAGCCGGCUUGCCCGUGGGUGGAAAACACCGGCUUUCUGGACUGAUGGGUCUGUGCCAGCAGGUGUUCUCACUGCGCCCACGGAAACGUUCUCAUCUGAGGUGAAAUUAAACCAAUACCUGCCUAAGGUCGCGGUUAGAGGUGAUGACUUCGGUGAGGGUUUUUCUGAGUCAGCCCUCUUCUCUCUCUAGGAGAGUCCUAAGGACCCUAAGGGUCUUCCUCAGGCAGCUGGAGGUGGGAUUGCUGUCAGAGGCUUCUGGAGGGGACACGGGGUGAUGUGAUCCAAAGUCCCCUGCAGCUGCAGAGAUGACUCUUUCACAGAUUCCCCAUUUACAGAUGCAUUUACAGAGACUCAAGACAGAGGAAGCAGGAUUGAAGUCUGGCAGCCUUCCUCCCUAAGGCAGGACAUUCCCGGCUGUGCCCUGGUUUGGGAACGCGUGUCAGCCCCUGAAUUUUUAAUGAGUUUCUACAGAAGCAAUUGAACUGCAAUUGCUGGGAAGGGUUGGGGCACCAGCCAAGGACAGCUCAGUAUCCUUGGGGCUUCUCCUAGGAUUGUGUCUGGGCUGAACAUGGGUCCAGCAUGAGUCUGCCACUGAGGGAGAUGGUUCGUGUUUUGGUUAGGGUUGAGUACCAGUGAGGAUCUUUCUCUAAGUCCGUCUCCUACCACUGGGCUUUACAGGAGACAGGAAAAGAGAUGCACUAAACCUGGGGGUUGUGGUGGGAUCCAGGAGGAGAAAUUUAGGUGUUAGGGGCAAAAUCUGAAUCUAGUUAUAUAGUUAGGAAGGGAGGAAGUCUGGUUUGAAGGACUCUUUGGAACAUCCCUUAAGAUCUGCAUCUGCCCUGCAUAAUUUGGUGUUUCAGCCUCAAAAUGAGAUGUAAGGGGAGCCUUAUAGGUCCUUGCCCAGCUGGAGCACAAGUAUGUUCCAAAGCCCAUUUCUCAGGCUUGUAAUUCUGAAGGACUCAAGCUUGUUCCUCACCACUAGUGCAAAGAGUGAUUACAGCACCAGUUACAGAUUCCUUCUGGCAAGGAGUUAAUUCCGGAAUCUCAGCAUCAUUCAUCAGGGCACUAGCAGGACCUGGGCCUUGCUUGGAGGGUGGAGGUGAAGGUAAGAAUCUCCUGGAGAUGAGUCUGGCCAAAGCCUACAGGGAGGACAGGGUAUGGAGAGACCUCCAGAAAUUCAUGAAGGUCAUGCCUUGAUAGGCUCCAGCUCUUCCCUUUCAACCUGUGCUCAUGAAAUACUUGUCGUCCCUUGGCGUGGGAGUCAUUAGGUGGAGGAGAUGUUGCUGCACAGCUCAGCUGCCAAUGCAAAAGUGAUCCUUGGCAUAGGACUUCAUGGGAAGGAUCCCAGGAGAUAUUGCAUGUCUUCUCUUCCCCUGUUUCUGUUCCACUCACCACAUCCCUCACUAGUAAGGGAUGAGACUGUGUGAAGAGAAACACAGCGUUCCUCUUAGCAUCCCUCUGCUGUUAAAAUGAUGGGAGCAGCCAGAUGAGUGCCUUCAAUCUCCUUUCAGUGGUUUCGGGCACUGUCAGGGAGGUCAGGGAGGAAAUUCUCCAUUAGACACACUGUCUUCUUUCCCCUCCCCUCAAAAGAAAGGCUUUUAUUAACAAAGUUUUAAUUUUCUUUUUAUUUAACUCUAUCAUAAAUGGGUAAGAUUAUACAGUACCCUUUUUUUUCUAAAUGCUGUAUGGCUAUUCAGGACUCCAGCAAGAGGAAGGGUAAAGCUGCUGAGAGGAUGUAAGGGCUGGUGUUGGGGGUAGACUCAGCAGUGCUGCCUUAAGGUGUCUCAGGCUUCUAGGUGCCCUUUCCAUCCAACUUUUUACCAAAACCACUACUUCUAACACUAUGCUGUAGCACUGCAGGACUUGAGGAUCUCUCGAACCUUGCAGACCACAGGCUCUGCACAGACACCUUGAGAACUGCUGGUAGGGGGAUUUCUCUGAUUUACACCAUGAGUCACUGGCCAAAGCAGGAAUUAGCUUGUCUCAGCCAAGGAAAAGCCCCAAAACAGGUUUGGGAGUUGGACUCAGCCUUUCCACACGCGAUGCUCAUGUGAUGGAAGUUUGAAGCUUGCACUGUUGUGUAUCAGGUUUCCUGGGUGCUUGUGUUUGCACAUGCUGUCCUACAUCAGACUGUAAUGCUGGUGGGUCUGUUUUUAACCACUUUUGUAAUUCUUAAUUGGUAUGAACUGUAACAUGAAUCACCCUGAUUGAGAUAAAAUUUUGGAAAACAAAAA